AAACUUUACAAUGCGGGAAACCGUGAUAAGGGAACUCCGAGUGUCCGUAAAUGCGGACUGUCCGUAUGUUUAAAAAGCAUGCGAAGAAAGGGCCGGGCAAGACCGGUGCCAGCCGCCGCGGUAAUACCGGCGGCUCGAGUGGUGGCCACUAUUACUGGGCUUAAAGCGUUCGUAGCUGGGUUGUUAAGUCUCUUGGGAAAUCUAUCGGCUUAACCGAUAGGCGUCCAAGGGAUACUGGCAAUCUAGGGACCGGGAGAGGUGAGGGGUACUUCAGGGGUAGGAGUGAAAUCCUGUAAUCCUUGGGGGACCACCUGUGGCGUAGGCGCCUCACCAGAACGGCUCCGACAGUGAGGGACGAAAGCUGGGGGAGCAAACCGGA
rnacentral:rRNA from 1 species